rnacentral:rRNA from 1 species
GCAACGAGCGCAACCCUAUCAUCUGUUGCCAGCAUUUAAGGUGGGGACUCAGAUGAGACUGCCGGUGACAAACCGGAGGAAGUGGGGACGACGUCAAGUCAUCAUGGCCCUUAUGUCCUGGGCUACACACGUGCUACAAUGGCCGGUACAGAGUGAAGCGAAACCGCGAGGUGAAGCAAAACGCAGAAAGCCGGUCUCAGUACGGAUUGGAGUCUGAAACUCGACUUCAUGAAGUUGGAAUCGCUAGUAAUCGCGCAUCAGCAUGGCGCGGUGAAUACGUUCCCGGGCCUU